rnacentral:rRNA from 1 species
GGGGAAUUUUGGACAAUGGGCGCAAGCCUGAUCCAGCCAUGCCGCGUGAGUGAAGAAGGCCUUCGGGUUGUAAAGCUCUUUCGGCCGGGAAGAAAUCGCAUUGGUUAAUACCUGGUGUGGAUGACGGUACCGGAAUAAGAAGCACCGGCUAGCUACGUGCCAGCAGCCGCGGUAAUACGUAGGGUGCGAGCGUUAAUCGGAAUUACUGGGCGUAAAGCGUGCGCAGGCGGUUUUGUAAGACAGGCGUGAAAUCCCCGGGCUCAACCUGGGAACUGCGCUUGUGACUGCAAGGCUAGAGUACGGCAGAGGGGGGUAGAAUUCCACGUGUAGCAGUGAAAUGCGUAGAGAUGUGGAGGAACACCAAUGGCGAAGGCAGCCCCCUGGGUCGAUACUGACGCUCAUGCACGAAAGCGUGGGUAGCAAACAGGAUUAGAUACCCUGGUAGUCCACGCCCUAAACGAUGUCAACUAGGUGUUGGGAGGGUAAACCUUUUAGUACCGGAGCUAACGCGUGAAGUUGACCGCCUGGGGAGUACGGCCGCAAGGUUAAAACUCAAAGGAAUUGACGGGGACCCGCACAAGCGGUGGAUGAUGUGGAUUAAUUCGAUGCAACGCGAAAAACCUUACCUACCCUUGACAUGUCAGGAAGUCUUGAGAGAUUGAGAUGUGCCCGAAAGGGAACCUGAACACAGGUGCUGCAUGGCUGUCGUCAGCUCGUGUCGUGAGAUGUUGGGUUAAGUCCCGCAACGAGCGCAACCCUUGUCGUUAAUUGCCAUCAUUUAGUUGGGCACUUUAGCGAGACUGCCGGUGACAAACCGGAGGAAGGUGGGGAUGACGUCAAGUCCUCAUGGCCCUUAUGGGUAGGGCUUCACACGUCAUACAAUGGUCGGUACAAAGGGUCGCCAACCCGCGAGGGGGAGCCAAUCCCAGAAAGCCGAUCGUAGUCCGGAUUGCAGGCUGCAACUCGCCUGCAUGAAGUCGGAAUCGCUAGUAAUCGUGGAUCAGCAUGUCACGGUGAAUA